rnacentral:rRNA from 1 species
GAUGAACGCUAGCGGCAGGCUUAACACAUGCAAGUCGAGGGGUAGAGGAAGCUUGCUUCCUUGAGACCGGCGCACGGGUGCGUAACGCGUAUGCAACCUACCUUUUACAGAGGGAUAGCCCAGAGAAAUUUGGAUUAAUACCUCAUGGUAUAUAUCAUUCGCACGUUUGAUAUAUUAAAGUUCCAACGGUAAAAGAUGGGCAUGCGUCCUAUUAGCUAGAUGGAAAGGUAACGGCUUACCAUGGCAACGAUAGGUAGGGGUCCUGAGAGGGAGAUCCCCCACACUGGUACUGAGACACGGACCAGACUCCUACGGGAGGCAGCAGUGAGGAAUAUUGGACAAUGGGCGCAAGCCUGAUCCAGCCAUGCCGCGUGCAGGAAGAAGCAUCUAUGGUGUGUAAACUGCUUUUGUACGGGAAGAAACACUCCUUCGUGAAGGAGCUUGACGGUACCGUAAGAAUAAGGAUCGGCUAACUCCGUGCCAGCAGCCGCAGUAAUAC